rnacentral:rRNA from 1 species
AGCGAACGCUGGCGGCGUGCCUAACACAUGCAAGUCGAACGUGAAAAGGGAAACCUGAGUAAAGUGGCGUACGGGUGAGUAACGCGUAGGUAAUCUACCCCAGAAUCUGGAAUAACCUGCCGAAAGGCGGGCUAAUACUGGAUAGAGCGAGGGAACUCGUAAGAGAGUUUUUCGGGAAAGGGAGCCCGCAAGGGCCUUCGUUCUGGGAUGAGCCUGCGUCUCAUUAGCUAGUUGGUAAGGUAACGGCUUACCAAGGCGAUGAUGAGUAGCUGGUCUGAGAGGAUGAUCAGCCACACUGGAACUGAAACACGGUCCAGACUCCUACGGGAGGCAGCAGUGGGGAAUCUUGCGCAAUGGACGAAAGUCUGACGCAGCCACGCCGCGGGAGUGAAGAAGGCCGUCGGGUUGUAAAGCUCUGUCGGAUGGGACGAACAUCUUCAUAGUGAAUAGCUAUGAGGACUGACGGUACCAUCAAAGGAAGCACCGGCUAACUCCGUG